UGCAUCGGUCAAUUGCUGGUUAAUUAACUAGAGGAAAGUCCGCUCUAGCACGAGCUGCGAUGCUCGUAGUGUUUGUGUAGGAUCAAAUAAAUCCUAGCAAGGUGACUUGACGACAAGUGCCACAGAGACGAGAAAUGUGAAACGCGGUAAACUCCGCAAGCUAGAAACCCAAAUUAUGGUAGGGGAACCUAAAUAGUCAGAAUUGAAUGUCUAUUAGGAAAAUGAAAAUUUUAGAUAAAUAAUUGACACAUAUUUAAUAUGUACAAAAAGCGGCUUAUAGAU
rnacentral:RNase_P_RNA from 1 species